GUGGAAUGAAAUCAGAUUUGAAUUUAACCACCUGAGCAAACUACUACUUUGAAUGAUAAGAAUGAACCAUCACUACUGGAAACGUUAUACCGAAGCAAGGAUACUCUGGAAACCAUAUUUAGGUUUAUCGAUAGAGAUGGGUCAGGUCUUAUCUCCAUGGAAGAAUUUACAGAUGCAUGCCAUCUACUAAGUCAACACUUAGGGACAGCUAUGUCACAAGAAGAGAUUGAUGAUUUGGCCAAGAGUAUAGACAUUAACAAAGACGGAUUUAUUGAUUUCAAUGAGUUUUUGGAAGCCUUCCGUCUUGUAGACAAGGAGCCCUCCCCUGUAUUACAGGCAAGAGAGUAAACAUUGUUCUUGUGGUA